GGGACUUAAAUUGGAAUGUUGAAGACGAUGACCUCUACAAAAACAAACCAGAAACUGGCAUCGACGAUGAAAAAGACGAAACCGAAGACGAAGAGAGUAAUAUUUCUUUAAGUUUAACGCACCCCAAAUCGCGGAAAAAUGGGCCACGCACGUCCAAGCCUCCAAGCCACCUUGCAGUACGCACCCUAGGGGUACGCCCUCGUAUACGCCGAAGGAGCUAAGAUCUCUCUAGCAGAUGAUACCCAUAAGGCUCAUGAGGACCAUCCGAACUUGAAGACUAACAAGAAACUUAGCUUCAAGCAUGAGAAUCAAAUUUCUGCAAUAAUACACGGUUAUGAUAAGGUUAUAUUUUAGACGUUAACUCGAACGUAAAACUCGGAAAGAGUUAGUUGUAAUAAUCAUGAGCUUUUCAUCGAUGGAACUUUGGUUUAAAAAGCAAUAAACAAGAAAUUUGGUUCA